rnacentral:rRNA from 1 species
UGGGGAAUAUUGGACAAUGGGCGAAAGCCUGAUCCAGCCAUGCCGCGUGUGUGAAGAAGGUCUUCGGAUUGUAAAGCACUUUAAGUUGGGAGGAAGGGCAGUAAGCGAAUACCUUGCUGUUUUGACGUUACCGACAGAAUAAGCACCGGCUAACUCUGUGCCAGCAGCCGCGGUAAUACAGUGGGUGCAAGCGUUAAUCGGAAUUACUGGGCGUAAAGCGCGCGUAGGUGGUUCGUUAAGUUGAAUGUGAAAGCCCCGGGCUCAACCUGGGAACUGCAUCCAAAACUGGCGAGCUAGAGUAGGGCAGAGGGUGGUGGAAUUUACUGUGUAGCGGUGAGAUGCGUAGAUAUAGGAAGGAACACCAGUGGCGAAGGCGACCACCUGGGCUCAUACUGACACUGAGGUGCGAAAGCGUGGGGAGCAAACAGG